rnacentral:rRNA from 1 species
AUGUCAUGUCAGCAAGAGGAGGAACUAGUUUACAUGUACCAGCAAGAAGGGGGUCCCGUACCUCUACCUCUACUCGGCAUGGAGCAGCAGUUCGCAGAGCCACCACCGCUGGCUGACCAUCAAGAGCGGUACUACACGCCACCCUUGCCGAUCCCAUCGUCCAAUCCAUCUCGCAGCUCCAAUUUCCCGAGCUUUGGGGGCUCAUCGUCGUUGCCCAACCUACCGUUCGGACCGCCGCCGGUGGAGAACGAGCUAGGGCAGCCGUCUCAGCCGCCAUCGUCCAACUUCCUCUCCUUCGGCAGCACCCUCAACUUCUCCAGAGGAGCCUGCUGGAGGCACGACGGCGCCCAAGGGACGAUGCAACAGCUGCAAGCGCCAGAGAGGCGGGGCAGGGCGCCAGCGUGCGCGCAAGAGCAUGUCAUUGCCGAGCGCAAGCGGCGAGAGAAGCUGCAGCAGCAGUUCGUGUCGUUGGCCACCAUCAUCCCCGGCAUUAAGAAGACAGACAAGCUCUCUCUGCUGGGGAGCACCAUCGACUAUGUGAAGCAGCUAGAGGAGAAGGUGAAGGCCCUGGAUGAGCAAGGCUCACGCAGAUCAUCAGAGUCCAUCGUGUUUGACAGCAAGUGCCGCAUAUCCGCUGCCGACAAUGGUACAGCAGGCCCCAGCGGGAGGAGCAACAGGUACCUGGGCCCGGACAUCGAGGCCAGCAUCCUGGGGAACACAGCACUCCUGAGUAUCUGCUGCAGAGGGAGAAAAGGGGUGCUGGUGAUGGUCCUCUCUGAGGUCGAGAACCAGGGCCUGUCAAUCAUAAACACCAACAUCGUACCGUUUACCGACUCCUACCUCAACAUCACCAUCACAGCAAAGAUCGAAGAGGGGUUUUCGUCCGCAGUUGAGCUGGUGAAGAACCUAAAAAUGGCUCUCAGAAGUUUCAACUAA